AGAACGAACGCUGGCGGCAUGCCUAACACAUGCAAGUCGAACGCUUCCGGGGCUUCGGUCGCGGAGGAGUGGCGCACGGGUGAGUAGCGCGUGGGAACCUGCCCUGUUGUGGGGGAUAACCGAGGGAAACUUCGGCUAAUACCGCAUACGCCCCGGGACUUGGUCUUCGGAUUAGGUCUGGGGGGAAAGAUUGAUCGCAGCAGGAGGGGCCCGCGUCGGAUUAGCUGGUUGGUGGGGUAACGGCUCACCAAGGCGAUGAUCCGUAGCUGGUCUGAGAGGAUGAUCAGCCACACUGGGACUGAGACACGGCCCAGACUCCUACGGGAGGCAGCAGUGGGGAAUAUUGGACAAUGGGGGCAACCCUGAUCCAGCAAUGCCGCGUGAGUGAUGAAGGCCUUAGGGUUGUAAAGCUCUUUCGCCCGCGACGAUGAUGACGAUAGCGGGAGAAGAAGCCCGGCUAACUUCGCGCCAGCAGCCGCGGU
rnacentral:rRNA from 1 species